rnacentral:lncRNA from 1 species
GGCACAGGAAAUGGCUGCUGGAUGAAUGUGCAAGUGAGUAAGGAGGACACAGACGGUCAGAGAGACCACUGGCCCCAGAGUGCACAGGGGCUGCGCAUGAUGGUUGUGACUGCGUUCUGGUGCAGACUAACUGAAGAGCAGAGAUGAGGGAGAGAAGAGAAGGAGAGCCUUGGGCACCCCAACAGAGCAAGUCCCAGGCUGAGCCGCCCUCACCCUCUCGGCCCUACCUACCUACCUUCCACCUGGAUCCAGCUCAGUGCUGAUCACACAGUUUGCUGAAGGGAUAGAGCUGGGGAAUGUCAGAAAUGGGGAAACUGAGUCAGCUUCCAGGCCUCUUAAGUCCUUGACUGGGGCUCACCUGAUCCAGCCAGAGGCAAGGGAGACCUAAGCCACUCUGGAGCCUCCAUUUCCUGAUCUGUAACUCGGGGCUUGUUGUCCACUGGGGCCUCACUUCCCCAGACUGUGGCCCCCAUCCUUCUCCAGACCUCCUCCCUGCUCUAGCCCAGGGCCUCGCUUAGACCCCCACCCCCAGGGGAGCCUUGACAGAGGCCCAUGCCCACCCUUCCUUGUACACGCCUGAGCACGGCUGAUUCCUCCCUGUGAGCCCAGGCCAAUAAUGUGCUCUUCAUGCCACAAAGCUGAAAAGCACUCAGGAACCAGGUGCAAUCGGCCUAAGGGACCUGUCCAAGGCCACCCAGCCCUUAAGAAGCAAAGAAGGGCUGACCUGUCACUACCCACUGAUAUCUCAGGACCUGCAGGGGCAGGGUUAAAUGCACAUUCCCCUCUCACCCACACGGCAGCAAGAGAAAGAGUUAGGGUCCUGGGGGCUGCAAUCUGGGCAAUGCCUAAGCAGACAGCCUCAGACAAUGAAGGGCGAGUCAGGACUCAGUUGUGUCAACUUGGUAUAUACAACCUCUCCAAGCCUUGA